AAGCCAUGAUGUGGGCAUUGAGACCAAUAGCCCUUGAACCUCUCCCAUGCUUCACUGAAUCCCUCUAGGUUCUUCUGCUGAAAGCUAGAGAUCUCAUUCCUGAUUUU
rfam:Brassica napus, WGS project CCCW01000000 data, contig: 13751